UUUUUUUAUUGGGAAAUUUGAUUUCUCGAUCGAAAUGAAGAGGAGAGAGAGAGGAGGCGGAGGAGCAGGAGAGGAGGAGGUGGGGGUGGUGGUGGUGGUCGUUGAGGCGAAGGAGGAGGAAGGGCUAGAAAUGGCUCCCCGUCUUGCGCGGUGGCGCCACGUCGGAUGAAACGGGUGUGCGAGCGGCGGGCCCGCCACGAUUUACUUGCGGAUAAGGUCAGCGGUGGAGCCUUGAGGCAAUGCAAUGGGCAAGCAUGUGGUGAACCACCCACUCGCUGUUUCAAGCGGAAAUUAAAUAAUAAUAAUAAUAAUAAUAAUAAUAAUAAUAAUAAUAAUAAUAUCACCUAGUCUCUUAUUUAUUUUUUUAAUUUUUUAAAAUAGAUAAUUUAAUUAUAUUUUCAUUUAUUUAAAAUGAUAAAAAUGUUGUCAAGUCCAGUGGCAAAGAGGCGUUGUUUAAGAAUUUUUAACACUAGGGGUCUUCUUUGUCAUUUCUCAUUUUUCAGGGUGCGGAUCGGUAAAUUUGACCAGAAACAAAGAAUACUUCUUCCCCGAUCUCCUCUCAGUCUCAGAAACGUAGCACGAUUUCUCUUUCGAGCUCCAACUGGAAGGGUCGAGGGUUUGGGCUAUGGCGGAGAGCACAUCGGGACCGUGGAUGCUGGAUGCAGCUCCUCUCUUCGUGGUUGUCCUAUUGGUUGCCCACGUCUCCGCUUUGGUUUACUGGAUCUACAGAUUGGCGGCUGAAAAACCGCACCCUCGGAGAAAGACGCAUUAGGCUUGAAAAGAAAUGAAGCAGCAGACGAUGCGCAAGGUUACUUGAGUGACAGUCCUAAAAAACAUCACAUUCUUUUUCUUUCCUCCUAUGCAAACCUCUCAUCCUUAAAAGAUAUUGGACAGACCUUAUUGUAAUUUGAUAAUGAAUGUUUCAAACAUUCAUUUUUCACUGGAUUUUCUGUGGAGUUCUACAGGAAAGAGGAAAGACAAAUGUAAAGUUUACUGAAACAUUGUUGUGAGGUAUUGCAGUAAAGGACUAAGCAACAUGAUUUUGUUGAAUUGCUCUACAUUUUAUUCCCUAAGCAUGAACUUUUUCCUCUUUCUCUUUAUUUUUUAAAGAAAUUUAUUCUCUAAUCUUUUUGUCUAUUUUCUCAAAGUUUAUAUGCUUGUCUCAUGGUUUGCAAUCAGCAACAACUACUAUAAUGUCUGUACCCAUUAACAUCGCUUGUCAGGGACAUCCGAGGUCAUGAUUUAAUUAUAGCUGCUAAAGGAGUAUCCAAAGAUUACAAAUGGUUGGUAGAUAUAAAAAUUUGACGCUAAUAAAAGAAAUGGCUAAUUGAUGUGCCGUCAUGCCCCAAGUGGAAACCUCAAGUGUGCAACAUCAUGUCGAUUCAAGACAAGCAGUGCAGUGGUCAUCAACUCUAGUAAUUUCUUUCUUCCUUUCGAUGAAAAGAAAUUAUUUAGGUUAUAUAGCCUACUCAAUUACCGACUUCCUCUUUUAUCUUUUGUUGUUUUUACCAUGAAAAUUGAGUCAAGCUCUAACAUAAGAAUCUUGAAACUAUUGAUGUUGUGAUAUAGCAUCUAAUGGCAAUGGAGACUAAACCUAGGCCUUCAUAUGUAACCAUUAAUCUUUUAGCAAUUAAUUUGGCAUAUUGAUUUACUCUCAUUUGCCCAUUGAGGCAUUGAGUUACUAUUUGCCUUAGUUGAAAUAUAACUAGGAAAAUAUGGUCUCUUGAACCUUACAAAGCCUUGGGUCUCAAAAUUUGCUAAUGUAGAUUCAUACUUCUUUAAGAAAGUCAAAGCCUAAUGAUAAUUUGCUAGGAACUUGGACAUUUGGUACUUGCUUGGAUCUUCUAACAAUUAUUUCAGGCAGAAAGAGAAAAUAAAUUAUCUCAAGCAAGCUUAUGCUGUUUUCUAGUGGAAGUAUAUUUAUCUUAAUUAGGCAGAGAUUAGUUGGUUAAUGUAUUGGAAAGUUGAGACACUAACUAAUUAAAUAAAAACAUAUCUUUAAUCCAAACCCAUAGUUUUAAAACACUAAUCUAGAGCACAAUCAUGAGAUAUAACCUUACCCUGUAGUUAUUAUUAACAGUGUGCUUUGUAGCUUAAUAAUUAUUAGUUAUUGACCUAUCAUAGUGUGCAGCACUGAACUAUUUAAUAAACAGGAAUCACUUAUGCAUGAGGGAUAGAGAUAAGGAGAGAAUGAAGUGCAAUAAUUAUGUGAUGUGGGCUGCUCCAGAUUGAGACAAACCCUAUCCUGUAAUUGGCAGCAUUUCUGGUGUCUAACUGUGUUUGAUCACUUUUAAAUCAACAUAAACGUUGAUGAGUGUAGUAUUCAAGGUAUUGUUCUCACAGUGAGGAGGUAUAGGAAGAACUGGAGAUGAAGGACAAGGUUAGCCUUCAAGGCAAGGAGGAUGAGGUGUUGAUCAUGAGUUCUUCCAUCGGUGGUGACUCAUUGUCGUCGCCAUUGGCCUCUUCGGAGGAGGAGGAGGAGGAGGAAGAGGAGGAGAGCAAAGGAGGAGAGGUCAAGAGCCAGGCGAAGAAUGGAGCUUUUAGAUGUUUGGGUUCCUUGGAAGACUCCCUCCCUAUCAAGCAAGAAAUCCCUUUUGAAAAUUCUUUAUACUUCUGGUGUAUUGUGUUAGAUCAAUUGGUUGCAUUCCAAUUUAUUGUUGCAGGAGAGGAUUGUCGAGCUUCUUCUCCGGUAAAUCCAAGUCUUUCUCAAAUUUGUCAGACAUGGGCAACACGAGCACGAACAACCUGGCAAAAACUGAGAACUCCUUCAAUAAGCGAAGAAGAAUUCGAAUGGCUAGCAAAGCAAAGAGAGCUUCCUAUACUUCAUUCAUAAGUCUACCACAGCCGCCUCCGCCACCACCAUCACCACCCUCCUUUAAGGAUCACAUUUUGGAGGAAGGCGACAAAGAGGGCAUCUAAGAGCAACACGAGAAGGAAAUGAACAACAUGAUUUGUCGAACUUCACGACAUGACUAGUUCAAAGCUUUGUCUUUGAAGUUUGAACAAGAUGAUAGAUUGAAAGUAAAAUUCUGAUUUAAAA